AACUUCCGUUAAUUGAUCAGGACGUGCUUGCACUGAAUGAGAUUUUAACACGAAGUGAGUGGCGGACGGGUGAGUAACACGUGGGUAACCUGCCCAGAAGCAGGGGAUAACACCUGGAAACAGAUGCUAAUACCGUAUAACAGAGAAAACCGCCUGGUUUUCUUUUAAAAGAUGGCUCUGCUAUCACUUCUGGAUGGACCCGCGGCGCAUUAGCUAGUUGGUGAGGUAACGGCUCACCAAGGCGAUGAUGCGUAGCCGACCUGAGAGGGUAAUCGGCCACAUUGGGACUGAGACACGGCCCAGACUCCUACGGGAGGCAGCAGUAGGGAAUCUUCCACAAUGGACGCAAGUCUGAUGGAGCAACGCCGCGUGAGUGAAGAAGGGUUUCGGCUCGUAAAGCUCUGUUGUUAAAGAAGAACGUGGGUGAGAGUAACUGUUCACCCAGUGACGGUAUUUAACCAGAAAGCCACGGCUAACUACGUGCCAGCAGCCGCGGUAAUACGUAGGUGGCAAGCGUUAUCCGGAUUUAUUGGGCGUAAAGCGAGCGCAGGCGGUCUUUUAAGUCUAAUGUGAAAGCCUUCGGCUCAACCGAAGAAGUGCAUUGGAAACUGGGAGACUUGAGUGCAGAAGAGGACAGUGGAACUCCAUGUGUAGCGGUGAAAUGCGUAGAUAUAUGGAAGAACACCAGUGGCGAAGGCGGCUGUCUGGUCUGUAACUGACGCUGAGGCUCGAAAGCAUGGGUAGCGAACAGGAUUAGAUACCCUGGUAGUCCAUGCCGUAAACGAUGAUUACUAAGUGUUGGAGGGUUUCCGCCCUUCAGUGCUGCAGCUAACGCAUUAAGUAAUCCGCCUGGGGAGUACGACCGCAAGGUUGAAACUCAAAAGAAUUGACGGGGGCCCGCACAAGCGGUGGAGCAUGUGGUUUAAUUCGAAGCUACGCGAAGAACCUUACCAGGUCUUGACAUCUUCUGCCAACCUAAGAGAUUAGGCGUUCCCUUCGGGGACAGAAUGACAGGUGGUGCAUGGUUGUCGUCAGCUCGUGUCGUGAGAUGUUGGGUUAAGUCCCGCAACGAGCGCAACCCUUAUUACUAGUUGCCAGCAUUCAGUUGGGCACUCUAGUGAGACUGCCGGUGACAAACCGGAGGAAGGUGGGGACGACGUCAAAUCAUCAUGCCCCUUAUGACCUGGGCUACACACGUGCUACAAUGGAUGGUACAACGAGUCGCGAAACCGCGAGGUUUAGCUAAUCUCUUAAAACCAUUCUCAGUUCGGACUGUAGGCUGCAACUCGCCUACACGAAGUCGGAAUCGCUAGUAAUCGCGGAUCAGCAUGCCGCGGUGAAUACGUUCCCGGGCCUUGUACACACCGCCCGUC
rnacentral:rRNA from 1 species